GACGAACGCUGGCGGCGUGCCUAAUACAUGCAAGUCGAGCGAACCAAUGGGAGCUUGCUCCCUGAGGUUAGCGGCGGACGGGUGAGUAACACGUGGGUAACCUGCCUGUAAGAUUGGGAUAACUCCGGGAAACCGGAGCUAAUACCGGAUAAUAUUUUGAACCGCAUGGUUCAAAAUUGAAAGACGGCUUCGGCUGUCACUUACAGAUGGACCCGCGGCGCAUUAGCUAGUUGGUGAGGUAACGGCUCACCAAGGCGACGAUGCGUAGCCGACCUGAGAGGGUGAUCGGCCACACUGGGACUGAGACACGGCCCAGACUCCUACGGGAGGCAGCAGUAGGGAAUCUUCCGCAAUGGACGAAAGUCUGACGGAGCAACGCCGCGUGAACGAUGAAGGCCUUCGGGUCGUAAAGUUCUGUUGUUAGGGAAGAACAAGUACCAGAGUAACUGCUGGUACCUUGACGGUACCUAACCAGAAAGCCACGGCUAACUACGUG
rnacentral:rRNA from 1 species